CUGCUGCCUCCCGUAGGAGUCUGGUCCGUGUCUCAGUACCAGUGUGGGGGACCUUCCUCUCAGAACCCCUACGCAUCGUCGCCUUGGUGGGCCGUUACCCCGCCAACUAGCUAAUGCGACGCAUGACCAUCCGUAGCCGGAAUCGCUUCCUUUAAACCCGAGGAGAUGCCUCCUCGGGUUGUUACGCGGUAUUAGACGGAAUUUCUUCCGCUUAUCCCCCUGCUACGGGCAGGUUUCAUACGUGUUACUCACCCGUGCGCCGGUCGCCGGCGGGAGUA
rnacentral:rRNA from 1 species